UUUUUCACUGGGAGAUUCAGAGCGACCGCCGAAAUCCCGGAGCGAGCACUCGGAUCGCACGAAGCCACCUCUGCCAGUGAAACACGAGAAUGCUCCGUGAGAGGUGCCCCGGAAGUUGAUUAUGCAUACGUCACGCAAACCGGUUCCGGAAACAGUUUAUUUUUCCGCUCUCUUCGUUUCCUUGGCAACUUUGGCCGCCACUGCAGGGCGCGCAUUUCGACCACGCAGUUAAAGCUUUGUAGAACACUUUAACGCAGUCGCGAACAGCAGUUGUGUAGCAAGUAUGGACGAGCACGCGGAAUUGACACCGGCUGUGCGUCGGCUGUUGCUGGGCGUUUUCAGAAACAGCGGCAACGAUCUGAACGGUAAGUGCGACGUACUUGACGCUGAUAAUAAACUCUGCACGGAAUGCUAACUUUGAUAGCUCCGCAUGAAGACUGGUCAGAUAAUUGUAAAGCAUGCGGGUACACGUGGUAACGGCCGCAAUCGGCGCUCGCAAAAAUACGGCAUGUUGUGAGCAGGCUUUUUUUUUUAAUCAGAGCAGUUGCUUACCCAACACCUUACAGUCCUACUAUUUAGAAUAUCACAAGCGCCGGAAUUUUCGCAGCGCUCACCAAGCUGCUGUAUUACCUUUAAUAAAAAUGCAUGGCGAUCUCUGUAUUCGCGCAUGAAUACAUGCAUGAAAAAUUUACUAGAGAAGUAACGUUUUCUUGGUGAUUCUUGACCUCUACUCUUUUGGUGUUAACCCGCAAAUGUCUUUUCUUUUUCUCUAUUUGAAGGUGCUACACAGUGUGACGCCACCGACGCUUUGUCACAUACACAGGGCGCAUUUUUAGGAAAUGAUUCUGCAGCGUCUACUGGUGCGUCACCAAGUCGGGCUUGUCAGCCAGGGACUCCUGCACGUGCUGCAGGGUGUGAGUGGACGAGUGGCGAGACGAAGCUGCUGCUGGACCUCUACGCCUCAUAUUUCCCUCAAGUUGGCCCUCUGAAAAAAUUUCGCAACAAAAAGGCCAUGUUUGAAAAAAUUGCAACAGACAUUAAUAAUAAACUGGGUGUAAUGAGAACUGGUGAGCAGUGCUGCUCUCGGUACAAAACCGUACUGAAAAGAAAAAAUGUGGCAGCUGGGAAAAAUAAUACGUCUGGCUGUUCCCCACAAGAAGUCCCCUACGAGGCCGAGCUUGAAAAAAUCAAGUGGCUGGACGACAGCUUGGAACCAGAAGUGGUACGCGACGCAAGUGGAGUGGUAUCAAAAAAGACAUGUCCACAGUCAUCCACCGAGUCUGUUCCACUUGCUGGUUCAAGCUCGUCAACGUCACACUCUCCAUCCAGCUCCGUUGGGCAGGACGACACUCCUGAUUCAAAAAGAAAACGCCCGAAUUCAGCACGCGAGCUCCACCUGCAAACCUUCUUUGAAAAAAUGAAGGAGUUAGAUGAACGGCGAGCAGAGCGAAAGGCUGAAAGAGACAG